rnacentral:rRNA from 1 species
UACGUAGGUGGCAAGCGUUAUCCGGAAUUAUUGGGCGUAAAGAGCGCGCAGGUGGUUGAUUAAGUCUGAUGUGAAAGCCCACGGCUUAACCGUGGAGGGUCAUUGGAAACUGGUCGACUUGAGUGCAGAAGAGGGAAGUGGAAUUCCAUGUGUAGCGGUGAAAUGCGUAGAGAUAUGGAGGAACACCAGUGGCGAAGGCGGCUUCCUGGUCUGUAACUGACACUGAGGCGCGAAAGCGCGGGGAGCAAACAGGAUUAGAUACCCG